rnacentral:rRNA from 1 species
CUUGAACGCUGGCGGCAUGCCUUACACAUGCAAGUCGAACGGUAACAGGUCUUCGGACGCUGACGAGUGGCGCACGGGUGAGUAAUGCAUCGGAACGUGCCCAGUCGUGGGGGAUAACUGCUCGAAAGAGCAGCUAAUACCGCAUACGACCUGAGGGUGAAAGCGGGGGACCGUAAGGCCUCGCGCGAUUGGAGCGGCCGAUGUCAGAUUAGCUAGUUGGUGGGGUAAAGGCCUACCAAGGCAACGAUCUGUAGUUGGUCUGAGAGGACGACCAGCCACACUGGGACUGAGACACGGCCCAGACUCCUACGGGAGGCAGCAGUGGGGAAUUUUGGACAAUGGGCGCAAGCCUGAUCCAGCAAUGCCGCGUGCAGGAAGAAGGCCUUCGGGUUGUAAACUGCUUUUGUCAGGGAAGAAAUCUUCUGGGCUAAUACCCCGGGAGGAUGACGGUACCUGAAGAAUAAGCACCGGCUAACUACGUG